rnacentral:misc_RNA from 1 species
UACGGAGGAUCCAAGCGUUAUCCGGAAUUACUGGGCGUAAAGAGUUGCGUAGGCGGCAAAGUAAGCAGAGUGUGAAAUUGUGUGGCUCAACCAUACACCCAUGCUCUGAACUGCUUAGCUAGAGAAUGGAAGAGGUUGCUAGAAUUCCUGGUGUAGGGGUGGAAUCCGUAGAUAUCAGGAAGAAUACCGAUGGCGUAGGCAGGCAACUGGUCCAUUUCUGACGCUCAGGCACGAAAGCGUGGGGAGCGACCGGG